GGCAGCAGCACCAGGGUUAAUGUGGGUGGCACCCUGCAGGAUAUGCAGUUACCCCUGUGCCAGUGCCCUCUUGCAGUGCUCGGAGGAGGGCAGGCGUUCCAAUCAAAUCAUUGAAUGUCCCCGUGAUGCCGUCUUCAGGCGUGUCCUCGGCUGCGAUACCGGCUCCGUGACGCCAUAAUCCGCGGGCGUCACCGGUGGAUUUCCACGAGCUAUAAACACCACAGGAUCUGUGUCAGUCGUGAAGCUCCCGGCGGCGCUUUGAUCUCGUUGUGAAACGCGUGGGGGAGGACGCCAUGCGGUGACACCCAAGCAGCCGCC